ACUCUCUGCCUGUCUCAGGGCCUCCAGGACUGCAGCUUCCACUGGGCAGCCUCCCCUUGAUCCUAAGGGUGGUAACAGCUUCCUGCUAUUGCCAGCUGCUGGGUGCCUCAACAUCCUUUGUUGGUUUCCUUAAACUUGUCCACAUCUCUGUAAAUCAUCCUUUACUAAAUAGCCCUUCAUCUGAAGCAUCAGUAUGAUGUGGCACCCACCACUGUGUUAUGACAUGCAGACAAGGGUCCUCACUAAGUGCCUGUGGCCUGACAGAUUGUGGCUCUGAGGUCAGUGCAGUCGUGGCCAUUUAGAGAUGGUUACUGAAAGUUAAUAAUUGGUGGUUCCUGCCUAAAAAUCCCACCACAUACUACAAUCCCUUUGAAUUUUCAAGAAAUAUUUGGUCCAUUAGGGAUAUCAGAAGCCUUUGGUGAGCCAGACAUGGUGGCUCAUGCCUGUAAUCCCAACACUUUGGGAGGCCAAGAGGGAAGGAUCACUUGAGCCCAGGAGUCCAAGACCAGCCUGGGCAACAUAGUGAGAUCCUAUAUCUACAAAAAAUAAAGAAGCCACUUUCCACCAUUUAUUAAAUAAAUUCUUUCCCAGGCCGGUCUGAGUCGCACCCAGACUUUACAUCAGGCUUUGUUCCAGGUGGGUGGGGGUGCCAAAGGGAAUACUGCGGCAGGAUUUGCAGUCUUGGUGAUUUGAUCACAAAAUACAGACAUCGACAACAAUAACAUGAACCCUACUACUAGGAUUAGUUACUACUAGGGUUAGUGCCUACUAACAUGUAGCCACUACUACAAGGACAUCAACCAAAAAGAAUAGGAAAAAAAUAUAGCCCAAAAUGUAGAAAAAAAGCAUACUAUAGUGAUAUGUCCAAGUUAACCAAUACAAAUAUUGUUAUGCUUCUAGAUUCUGCGAUGUAUGCAGUAUUUGUUAGCUUUUCAGGAUCAAGCUUGUCCUGGGCAGGGUCUCAGCACUGUGCGGAUGUGCGGCUCCUUGCACUAUUUUGUUCUGCCUUUGAGGCCUCUGCUGAAAUGUUGUAUGUAUACAGAUUUUUUCUAAAGGUUAACAUCUAAACAGAUCAAUUAAGGUCAGCCUUAAUUUGUCUGAGCUUUUUGGUUAAAGUUUCCUGAGUAAUUGAGCGAAUUCAAGUUUCUGGCUUUCUCCUUUUUCUUUCUCCAUUUAAAACAUGAUCUCAUGAAAUUUUUGUCCCAAGAAAGGCAGGAUUACAUUUUCUUUUAACAGUUUGAGUUGGUGUAGUGUAUUCUUGGUUAUCAGAAUACUCAUAUAGCUUUAGGAUUUUGAAUUGGUAAAUAUUCAUGAUGUGUGAAAAAUCAUGAUACAUACUGUACAAUCUCAGUGCCAUAAAAUUGGAUGUUGUGCCUACACACGCACAGGACCUAGAAGAGCAUGUCAAACUAUAAACUGCCUGUGAUUGUGAAUGACUUUGUUCUUUGCUUCUUGCGUUUUUCAGUUUCCUAUAAUGCACAUCUUAACUUU
rnacentral:lncRNA from 10 species